ACCUCCUCAGUGGGCAAACAUGUUCUUGGAAGCGUGUCCAUGGUCAUUCUGGUGUCUGGUGAGCUGGCUCCUCGAGGUGAGAAAUGAAGAGGGAAACUCCUCUGAGCACUACGGAUCCUCAUUGUUUCAUGGCUUUUCCAAGAAGGUCCCGAUUCUGUGAGAUAAGCAGCAGCUUCCCUCAAGGUGUUUGCUUCCAUCAAGAUCUAAACAAGAGCCACACCUGUGAUGCGUUGUCAUGGCUUAGUCUCUGUCCAUCCGAAGGCCUCUUGCAUUUGAUGUGAGAUGGGACCUGCGUUGCUGUUGUGUAGUGUUUCCCCAGGGGCCAAGGCAUCCCCCUGCUGUGGUUUCACAUGGCCCUCAGUCUGCUGUUCCCUCUCAGGUGGCCAUGGUUCCAGAGGCUUGAUCAGAUUCAGGUCGGAGAGAGCCCAGGAUCGGAUACAUGCAGACAUGACAAGAUAAUGGACUUCCCCUGG